rnacentral:rRNA from 1 species
GGCCGCAAGGCUAAAACUCAAAGGAAUUGACGGGGGCCCGCACAAGCAGCGGAGCAUGUGGUUUAAUUCGAAGCAACGCGAAGAACCUUACCUAGACUUGACAUCCCCUGCAUAACCCAGAGAUGGGCGAAGUCCUUCGGGACAGGGUGACAGGUGGUGCAUGGUUGUCGUCAGCUCGUGUCGUGAGAUGUUGGGUUAAGUCCCGCAACGAGCGCAACCCUUAUCAUUAGUUGCUACCAUUAAGUUGAGCACUCUAGUGAGACUGCCCGGGUUAACCGGGAGGAAGGUGGGGAUGACGUCAAAUCAUCAUGCCCCUUAUGUCUAGGGCUACACACGUGCUACAAUGGUGAGUACAAAGAGAUGCAAGACCGCAAGGUGGAGCCAAACUCAAAAACUCAUCCCAGUUCGGAUUGUAGGCUGCAACUCGCCUACAUGAAGCCGGAGUUGCUAGUAAUCGCGAAUCAGCAUGUCGCGGUGAAUACGUUCCCGGGCCUUGUACACACCGCCCGUCACACCAUGAGAGUUGGUAACACCCGAAGUCCGUGAGGUAACCGUAAGGAGCCAGCGGCCGAAGGUGGGAUCGAUGAUUGGGGUGAAGUCGUAACAAGGUAGCCGUAGGAGAACCUGCGGCUGGAUCACCUCCU